CGGCUCUGCUCGGCUCUGCUCGGCUCGGCACGGAGCAACACGGCUGAGCACGGCGCGGCUCACACCGACCAAGCACGGAACGGCACGGCACGGCUCGGAUCGACACCGCGCGGCUCGGCUCGGCCGCCCCGCACCGCGCUCGCCCCGGGGGAGCUGCGGCCCCGCUGGGCCAGCGGCGCUCCGGCGCAGCCAGCCGCGCUCCCCGCCGGGGCUGCUACUGAGCAGCUGCGGGGCGGGCGGCCAAUGGCAGCGCCGCGAGGCGGGGGCGGCCCGGCGGGGCCCGCUCGCGGGAGGCUGCGGGGAAGCCCCGGGAGGGGCUCUCCCGGCUCCGGGCUCUCUCCCCGCCGGGUUUUCCACGGCGGGGGCAAAGCGGCCUUUCGUGUCCGCGCCCCCUCGGCUGCCGCGCCCCGCGGAAACGCCGCCCGAAGAGCCGUGCGGGUCCCGCAGCGCGGUGCCGGUGCCCGUCGGGCCCGUGAACUGCCCCGAGCAGCGCCGCUCCGAUGCCUCUCGAGCCUUAAACCGCUUGGAAACGCGCGCCGGGAACGGCUCGGUUGGGACGGAGAAAUGCGAACGCUGGAAUCCGCCUCGGGAUUUGUUAGGAAGGAGCUCGGGCAGUGCCACGUCUUUUUCCUAAAAGUAUGGAACGGUGCGGCUGCUGUUGGCCUUGGAACUGCGCGUAUCCCGCACUGAAUGCAAGUACGUGGGUUACAGGCAGAGCCAGGCGGGCGAUGUGUGCGCUGCACGGCAGUUGGAAGCUUUCUUCACGGCUGAUAACUCAAAGCUUCACUCACUUCUAUUUUUAUCUUUUUUGGUUUUGUUUUUGUUUUGCACCUUCGCACAAAGCUCCGUUCCCCGUCCUCUCCCGAAACGUACCGCGUUUCCCGUUUCCCACAGCUCUGUACGUCAGCGAGCAGACGGGACGGGCGCUGCCUACCUGCCCACGGCAACGUCCCCGCACCGUCCCGAUCCCCCCGCACCGAGCGCCGCACUCGCGCCCCGUUCCCGGGCGCUGCCCCACGCGGGGUGCCGCACCUCCGGGCGCUGCGCGGCUGCUGCGGGGAACGCGCUGCCGCCUCGAGCUGCGCCCACCGCGUAACCAUCGACGGAAGGAAUCGCCCCUCCCGGCCGACGGGCAGCGGUCCCGGGCGGGGGGCGGGAGCUGCCGCUGUUGCGGGCGUUGUACGGGAGCGGGAGCCGCUGGCAGAGCUGAGGGUGACGGACUGCUGCGGGUCCGGCGGUCACUUUAAAAAGACCCUUCGGCGCCCCCAAAGAGCCGUCCCUUCUCCGCAGCUCGGCUGCGUCCCCCCGGUACCUGCGGGCACCCCCGGGCGGGGCUGUGCUCACAGCGGCGGUGAGAUGCGACUUCACCGGGCGAGGAGGUAUUUGUAACAUGAAUUCUGUUCUCCGGGAGCUGCGGGUACAUCCCAGCGGACUUCGCACGAGUCGCUCCGGGCGGCGGCCGCCCCUCGCACGGCCGAAGCUCUCAUUUCGAUCCGGUCGCGGGCUCGGAUACGGCGGAGGUGCCGACUCCCGACUGAUGCGUCUGGGCGAAGCUCCGGACGGAAUUACUUUUCGCAUUCAUUUGUGCAGAACGGCUCCGUGCGGGCACAGCGAGCAGCGGGAGCGGCUGCGGCACCGGGUUAGGAGCGGCGCGGGGCUGCGGGGCUGCGGGGCUGCGGCGCUGUGCUGCGAGGCUCCCCCGGCGCCGUUCCUCCCCGCUGGAUUUAGCACCGUUUGAGAAGGCUGCGAAGCUUCGUCCGCCAGGAAGAGAAAAAAAGAAAAGUCGUUUGUGCAUUUUGACUUUUAUUCCAAUGAACGCUGCCGACAGCAACGAGAGCCGGCCCUCCUGGAUCUCCAUGAAGCCCUACAACACUCCUUGCUUCGCACUCUCCCCCACCUCCGUGGAGCUCUGCCUGGCGGUUGCUGCCUGCAGAAAGCCCAGAGCCCAACAUCUGAAGGAUGUUUUAAAGCGUGGGGGGUUGCAUCAUGGCCAGAGCACGGCUAUUUGCAGCGUCACAAGAGCAGCUCCCAGGCUGCACCACGUCAGGUUUCUGCAUGCAGGAGGACAAACGCACAGCACUGUGAUGUACACCCAUCUGCCUUCCUGUACGAGCAAAUGGGUGCACGCACAGGGGUGGAAAUGGCAAGUACUACACUGAAGAAAGGCCUAUGCUUGGGCACAGAUUUGGGGCCCUGAAACAUUUUCCCAUCACCUGAAUGAACGCAAACUUGGACAGUGGCAAAAUCUGACUACAGGCCAGACCUAAAUAGGGCAUUUAGAUGUGCUGACCCUGAGCACAGCUCUAAGUCUCACAUGCCUGAGAGGAACAUGGGAACUGCCAAUGGAUGUCCAAGGCUCAUCUGGCCCAUAGGGACCAGGUAGGUGCAGCAGGUCAGGCUGCAGUGUCACUGGCACCUCUUGUCAGCACUCUUGUCCAUUGAGUCUUGGAGUUUUUCAUCUGAAGUUUUACAAAGGAUUUUUAUUUUUUAAGAAAACAAAAGGAACAUGAACAACAUCUCAUGUUAUCUCUGUUUGAAUCCCACAGGGCAGCAAAAGAUCUGGGCAUGGAUGACUUCCAGUGUCUUCUAAAGCACUACCCGGUGAGCCGGCAUAGCAGAGAGCAGCGUGGCUUACCUCUGUAAAUGGAGAAGUCUGAGUGUCUGCUCUCUGGAGAGGCCUUCUGACUACACCUCCAGGAUAGGAAGAUGCCAAGUACUGCUUAUGGUGUUCUACUUCAGCUACUGCUUGCCACCAAAAGAUCCUGUGUGUCUUCUUCUGAAAAGUAUCGUUUCAGUCCUUAGCAGAAGCAGGGCAUUAAAAUAGAAGAAUAGCUAACAUGCAAUAUUGCUGUUAAAAUUAUUAAAAAUGGAGAAUAAAAUUUGCAUUACAAAAUGUUUAUUUUCUGCAGCUGCAGACAUCCAGCCACGAGAAGUAUUAUUUCUGAAGGAUUCAAGAUGUUGGAAGAAACAGUUACAGACAGCCUUCCUCCAGCAGCUUCAAAACUUCUGUUCUAUUCAUUCUCCAAAUAAAAUAAAAUUAGAGGUAUUUUUAUUCAA